AGAGUUUGAUCCUGGCUCAGAAUGUACGCUGGCGGCACGCCUAACACAUGCAAGUCGAGCGAGGUACUUGUACCUAGCGGCAGACGGGUGCGCAACAUGUGGGAAUCUGCCUUUUGGUUCGGAACAACACGGGGAAACUUGUGCUAAUACCGGAUAAGUCCUCACGGAGAAAGAUUUAUCGCCGAAAGAUGAGCCCGCACUAGAUUAGCUUGUUGGUAAGGUAAAAGCUUACCAAGGCUACGAUCUAUAGCUGAUUUGAGAGGAUGAUCAGCCACACUGGGACUGAGACACGGCCCAGACUCCUACGGGAGGCAGCAGUGGGGAAUCUUGCACAAUGGAGGAAACUCUGAUGCAGCGAUGCCGCGUGAGUGAAGAAGGCCCUUGGGUUGUAAAGCUCUUUUGUCGGGAAAGAUAAUGACUGUACCCGAAGAAUAAGGUCCGGCUAACUUCGUGCCAGCAGCCGCGGUAAU
rnacentral:rRNA from 1 species